rnacentral:rRNA from 1 species
CAGCAGCCCGGGAAUACGUAGGUGGCAAGCGUUGUCCGGAAUUAUUGGGCGUAAAGGGCUCGCAGGCGGUUUCUUAAGUCUGAUGUGAAAGCCCCCGGCUCAACCGGGGAGGGUCAUUGGAAACUGGGAAACUUGAGUGCAGAAGAGGAGAGUGGAAUUCCACGUGUAGCGGUGAAAUGCGUAGAGAUGUGGAGGAACACCAGUGGCGAAGGCGACUCUCUGGUCUGUAACUGACGCUGAGGAGCGAAAGCGUGGGGAGCGAACAGGAUUAGAUACCCCCGUAGUCCCUGUCUCUUAUACA